rnacentral:rRNA from 1 species
UACGAAGGGGGCUAGCGUUGCUCGGAGUCACUGGGCGUAAAGGGUGCGUAGGCGGGUCUUUUAAGUCAGGGGUGAAAUCCUGGAGCUCAACUCCAGAACUGCCUUUGAUACUGAAGAUCUUGAGUUCGGGAGAGGUGAGUGGAACUGCGAGUGUAGAGGUGAAAUUCGUAGAUAUUCGCAAGAACACCAGUGGCGAAGGCGGCUCACUGGCCCGAUACUGACGCUGAGGCACGAAAAGCGUGGGGGAGCAAACAGG